UAUUGGACAAUGGGGGCAACCCUGAUCCAGCGACGCCGCGUGUGUGAAGAAGGCCUGCGGGUUGUAAAGCACUUUUAGUGGGGAGGAAGGUCUGCGACCUAAUACGUCGUGGAAUUGACUUAACCCACAGAAAAAGCACCGGCUAACUCUGUGCCAGCAGCCGCGGUAAUACAGAGGGCGCAAGCGUUAAUCGGAAUUACUGGGCGUAAAGCGUGCGUAGGUGGUUUCGUAAGUCGGGUGUGAAAGCCCCGGGCUCAACCUGGGAAUUGCAUUCGAGACUGCGGAGCUAGAGUGCGGAAGAGGGAAGUGGAAUUUCCGGUGUAGCGGUGAAAUGCGUAGAUAUCGGAAGGAACAUCAGUGGCGAAAGCGACUUCCUGGUCCAGCACUGACGCUCAGGCACGAAAGCGUGGGGAGCAAACAGG
rnacentral:rRNA from 1 species